GGUUAAGCGACUAAGCGUACACGGUGGAUGCCCUGGCAGUCAGAGGCGAUGAAGGACGUGCUAAUCUGCGAAAAGCGUCGGUAAGGUGAUAUGAACCGUUAUAGCCGGCGAUGUCCGAAUGGGGAAACCCAGUGCAAUUCGUUGCACUAUCGUUAACUGAAUACAUAGGUUAACGAGGCGAACCGGGGGAACUGAAACAUCUAAGUACCCCGAGGAAAAGAAAUCAACCGAGAUUCCCCCAGUAGCGGCGAGCGAACGGGGAGCAGCCCGGAGUCUGAAUCAGCUUGUGUGUUAGUGGAAGCGUCUGGAAAGUCGCAGGGUACAGGGUGAUACUCCCGUACACUAAAAUGCACAGGUUGUGAACUCGAAGAGUAGGGCGGGACACGUGGUAUCCUGUCUGAAUAUGGGGGGACCAUCCUCCAAGGCUAAAUACUCCUGACUGACCGAUAGUGAACCAGUACCGUGAGGGAAAGGCGAAAAGAACCCCGGCGAGGGGAGUGAAAAAGAACCUGAAACCGUGUACGUACAAGCAGUAGGAGCCCACUAGUUGGGUGACUGCGUACCUUUUGUAUAAUGGGUCAGCGACUUAUAUUCUGUAGCAAGGUUAACCGUAUAGGGGAGCCGCAGGGAAACCGAGUCUUAACUGGGCGUUAAGUUGCAGGGUAUAGACCCGAAACCCGGUGAUCUAGCCAUGGGCAGGUUGAAGGUUGGGUAACACUAACUGGAGGACCGAACCGACUAAUGUUGAAAAAUUAGCGGAUGACUUGUGGCUGGGGGUGAAAGGCCAAUCAAACCGGGAGAUAGCUGGUUCUCCCCGAAAGCUAUUUAGGUAGCGCCUCGUGAACUCAUCUUCGGGGGUAGAGCACUGUUUCGGCUAGGGGGUCAUCCCGACUUACCAACCCGAUGCAAACUACGAAUACCGAAGAAUGUUAUCACGGGAGACACACGGCGGGUGCUAACGUCCGUCGUGAAGAGGGAAACAACCCAGACCGCCAGCUAAGGUCCCAAAGUCAUGGUUAAGUGGGAAACGAUGUGGGAAGGCCCAGACAGCCAGGAUGUUGGCUUAGAAGCAGCCAUCAUUUAAAGAAAGCGUAAUAGCUCACUGGUCGAGUCGGCCUGCGCGGAAGAUGUAACGGGGCUAAACCAUGCACCGAAGCUGCGGCAGCGACGCUUAUGCGUUGUUGGGUAGGGGAGCGUUCUGUAAGCCGUUGAAGGUGGCCUGUGAGGGUUGCUGGAGGUAUCAGAAGUGCGAAUGCUGACAUAAGUAACGAUAAUGCGGGUGAAAAACCCGCACGCCGGAAGACCAAGGGUUCCUGUCCAACGUUAAUCGGGGCAGGGUGAGUCGACCCCUAAGGCGAGGCCGAAAGGCGUAGUCGAUGGGAAACAGGUUAAUAUUCCUGUACUCGGUGUUACUGCGAAGGGGGGACGGAGAAGGCUAUGUUGGCCGGGCGACGGUUGUCCCGGUUUAAGCAUGUAGGCGGAUGUUCCAGGUAAAUCCGGAACGUUAUUAACGCUGAGGUGUGAUGACGAGGCACUACGGUGCUGAAGUGACAAAUGCCCUGCUUCCAGGAAAAGCCUCUAAGCAUCAGGUAACAUCAAAUCGUACCCCAAACCGACACAGGUGGUCAGGUAGAGAAUACCAAGGCGCUUGAGAGAACUCGGGUGAAGGAACUAGGCAAAAUGGUGCCGUAACUUCGGGAGAAGGCACGCUGAUGGUAGGUGAAGUGACUUGCUCAUGGAGCUGAAAUCAGUCGAAGAUACCAGCUGGCUGCAACUGUUUAUUAAAAACACAGCACUGUGCAAACACGAAAGUGGACGUAUACGGUGUGACGCCUGCCCGGUGCCGGAAGGUUAAUUGAUGGGGUUAUCCGUAAGGAGAAGCUCUUGAUCGAAGCCCCGGUAAACGGCGGCCGUAACUAUAACGGUCCUAAGGUAGCGAAAUUCCUUGUCGGGUAAGUUCCGACCUGCACGAAUGGCGUAAUGAUGGCCAGGCUGUCUCCACCCGAGACUCAGUGAAAUUGAACUCGCUGUGAAGAUGCAGUGUACCCGCGGCAAGACGGAAAGACCCCGUGAACCUUUACUAUAGCUUGACACUGAACACUGGUCCUUGAUGUGUAGGAUAGGUGGGAGGCUUUGAAGUGUGGACGCCAGUCUGCAUGGAGCCAUCCUUGAAAUACCACCCUUUAAUGGCUGGUGUUCUAACGUGGGCCCCUAAUCGGGGUUGCGGACAGUGUCUGGUGGGUAGUUUGACUGGGGCGGUCUCCUCCUAAAGAGUAACGGAGGAGCACGAAGGUCAGCUAAUCCUGGUCGGACAUCAGGAGGUUAGUGCAAUGGCAUAAGCUGGCUUGACUGCGAGCGUGACGGCGCGAGCAGGUGCGAAAGCAGGUCAUAGUGAUCCGGUGGUUCUGAAUGGAAGGGCCAUCGCUCAACGGAUAAAAGGUACUCCGGGGAUAACAGGCUGAUACCGCCCAAGAGUUCAUAUCGACGGCGGUGUUUGGCACCUCGAUGUCGGCUCAUCACAUCCUGGGGCUGAAGUAGGUCCCAAGGGUAUGGCUGUUCGCCAUUUAAAGUGGUACGCGAGCUGGGUUUAGAACGUCGUGAGACAGUUCGGUCCCUAUCUGCCGUGGGCGCUGGAGAAUUGAGGGGGGCUGCUCCUAGUACGAGAGGACCGGAGUGGACGCAUCACUGGUGUUCGGGUUGUCAUGCCAAUGGCAUUGCCCGGUAGCUAAAUGCGGAAGAGAUAAGUGCUGAAAGCAUCUAAGCACGAAACUUGCCCCGAGAUGAGUUCUCCCUGACUCCUUGAGAGUCCUGAAGGAACGUUGAAGACGACGACGUUGAUAGGCCGGGUGUGUAAGCGCAGCGAUGCGUUGAGCUAACCGGUACUAAUGAACCGUGAGGCUUAACCUU
rnacentral:rRNA from 1 species